rnacentral:rRNA from 1 species
UACGGAGGAUCCAAGCGUUAUCCGGAAUCAUUGGGCGUAAAGCGCGUGUAGGCGGUUCGGUAAGUCCGCUGUGAAAGUCGGGGGCUCAACCCUCGGAUGCCGGUGGAUACUGUCGGACUAGAGUACGGAAGAGGCGAGUGGAAUUCCUGGUGUAGCGGUGAAAUGCGCAGAUAUCAGGAGGAACACCAAUUGCGAAGGCAGCUCGCUGGGACGUUACUGACGCUGAGACGCGAAAGCGUGGGGAGCAAACAGG